rnacentral:misc_RNA from 1 species
AAUAUGAACUCUUUGAACACCACCCUGACAUUUGGAAGGAACAAAUGGAUAAUCACCUAACAAAUAGAGGCUUUAACCAAAUUGUAAGCUUAAAUAUUCCAAAGCAAGAUAGUAGCGGUUCAUUGGACAAAUAUUGCUUUCGUUCUAGAAAGAGAAAAAAUCCAAAGAUCAUAGCGCAUGUUGCCUCCGGCAAACUAAGCUCAACCUCUAAUCUCCAGGUGAACUUCAUAGCUACAUGCUACACUGCACUACAACAUGCUGCUGCAAUUCAAACAACCAAUAAGUGGAGAAACUGUGUUAAUUCCAGCCUUCCUCUUUGCAAUUAUUUCCACCACCACGGACGAAUCGAAUCUCAUUACCCAAGAGAGAAAAAUACAAGAGUUCAAAAUCCCACAGUAUGUACGUAACCAGAGCCAACCAAACUGCCAGUUGUCCACUUUGCAAUAUAUUAAUUCUCUAUUAUCCACCAAACUCAUAUAUCAAAAUCACCUAUCCGCUAAUAUCCCACAAUGCAAACAGACAGUAAGUUGAGAAGCUACACUAAUUUCAGCUCUCCAUCAUUCCCACUUUGCAAUACAUUAACUCUAUUCUCCAUCAAGUUCAUAUCUCAAUCCCUAUCCCAUUCCCAUCCUCUUAUCCCACCAUGCAAACAGCUAGUAACUUGAGAGGCUGCAUGCAUAUAACAUACUACAAAGUGCUAUCUUCCUUAAGAAAAGACUUCAGGAAGCAUGACAGCAUCAACCAUGAAUGCAGAUCCCAUAUACGAAGCAUGAUCACUAUAUAUUAAUCAAGAACACUAAUUGUAGGGGGGAAUUUCAGAAGACAAUUUUACUGAUUUUUACAGGAUAACUUCUAACAGGUGAAUGUACAUACUAACUUACUAAGGCACUAUAUAGAAAAGUAUCAGUGUUCAGUCAGGGCCACAGAAUUUAACAUAAUAAAGAGUAUCAUGUAUAAGGGCAAAACACUUACAUGGCACACAUAUGCUGCCGCGA